UACGGAGGGGGCUAGCGUUGUUCGGAAUUACUGGGCGUAAAGCGCGCGUAGGCGGCUUUGUAAGUUAGAGGUGAAAGCCCGGAGCUCAACUCCGGAAUUGCCUUUAAGACUGCAUCGCUAGCAUCAUGGAGAGGUUAGUGGAAUUCCGAGUGUAGAGGUGAAAUUCGUAGAUAUUCGGAAGAACACCAGUGGCGAAGGCGGCCAUCUGGACGGAUACUGACGCUGAGACGCGAAAGCGUGGGGAGCGAACAGG
rnacentral:rRNA from 1 species